rnacentral:rRNA from 1 species
AUUGAACGCUGGCGGCAUGCCUUACACAUGCAAGUCGAACGGCAGCACGGGGCAACCUGGUGGCGAGUGGCGAACGGGUGAGUAAUGCAUCGGAACGUACCUUUCAGUGGGGGAUAACGUAGCGAAAGUUACGCUAAUACCGCAUAUUCUGUGAGCAGGAAAGCAGGGGAUCGCAAGACCUUGCGCUGAGUGAGCGGCCGAUGUCAGAUUAGCUAGUUGGUGAGGUAAAGGCUCACCAAGGCGACGAUCUGUAGCGGGUCUGAGAGGAUGAUCCGCCACACUGGAACUGAGACACGGUCCAGACUCCUAUGGGAGGCAGCAGUGGGGAAUUUUGGACAAUGGGGGCAACCCUGAUCCAGCCAUGCCGCGUGAGUGAAGAAGGCCUUCGGGUUGUAAAGCUCUUUCGGCCGGGAAGAAAUCGCACGGGCUAAUACCCUGUGUGGAUGACGGUACCGGAAUAAGAAGCACCGGCUAACUACGUGCCAGCAGCCGCGGUAACAC